rnacentral:rRNA from 1 species
AGAGUUUGAUCCUGGCUCAGAUUGAACGCUGGCGGCAUGCCUUACACAUGCAAGUCGAACGGCAGCACGGGAGCAAUCCUGGUGGCGAGUGGCGAACGGGUGAGUAAUAUAUCGGAACGUGCCCAGUAGUGGGGGAUAACUGCUCGAAAGAGCAGCUAAUACCGCAUACGACCUGAGGGUGAAAGGGGGGGAUCGCAAGACCUCUCGCUAUUGGAGCGGCCGAUAUCAGAUUAGCUGGUUGGUGGGGUAAAGGCCUACCAAGGCAACGAUCUGUAGUUGGUCUGAGAGGACGACCAGCCACACUGGGACUGAGACACGGCCCAGACUCCUACGGGAGGCAGCAGUGGGGAAUUUUGGACAAUGGGCGCAAGCCUGAUCCAGCAAUGCCGCGUGCAGGAAGAAGGCCUUCGGGUUGUAAACUGCUUUUGUCAGGGAAGAAAUCCUCUAGGUUAAUACCCUUGGGGGGAUGACGGUACCUGAAGAAUAAGCACCGGCUAACUACGUGCCAGCAGCCGCGGUAAUACGUAGGGUGCAAGCGUUAAUCGGAAUUACUGGGCGUAAAGCGUGCGCAGGCGGCUUUGCAAGACAGAUGUGAAAUCCCCGGGCUCAACCUGGGAACUGCAUUUGUGACUGCAAGGCUAGAGUACGGUAGAGGGGGAUGGAAUUCCGCGUGUAGCAGUGAAAUGCGUAGAUAUGCGGAGGAACACCAAUGGCGAAGGCAAUCCCCUGGACCUGUACUGACGCUCAUGCACGAAAGCGUGGGGAGCAAACAGGAUUAGAUACCCCGGUAGU